rnacentral:lncRNA from 1 species
GUAACAUUUAGGCUUGAAGGCAUCUGUUCAUUUGUUCACUCCUUUUAAAAAAGAUUUAUUGCAAAUAUUUCAAAUCAAUGUAGCAGCAAAAAAGCAAAGUAACUGUUUUUAACAGCUUUUUUCCUCCUCUUUCCAGCUAUUUCUGAAGUGAUUUUCUUUCUUCAUUUCACUGGCUUGGUACAGUUGUCUUCCUAUGUAUUCGCAGGAGCUUACAAUGUUGAUAUAUGUAACCACACAGCUAUUGUGAGAGAAUACCAGCAUGUGCUGAAGAACAUCAUUGAAGAAGAACUGAACAAGGUAUGUUUCCUUUUGAUGAUCUUCUCUCCUUGGGUUAAAUUUAUGUUGGAUCAUGUUUAUGUUAGGUCUCACAUGGGUGUGGCUGAGUAAAGUGAGCAUCUGUUUUUUAGUGAAUAAAUGACUAGGGAACAUCUGUCUGAGGGGAAACAUGCAGCAUUUUUUUACUGAAAGAAUGAGAUUAAAAGGGUAAGACAAUUUGUAGAAACCAAUAAUAGUCAUGGUGAUAAAUAAGGCAUUCUUUAUGAAAAUUACCUCAUAAUUAAAUUAUAAUUCAUAAUAAUAUUGAGCUAAAGUUGAUUAGGAAGUUCCUCAUGGCUUAGACUGGAUACUCAGGUAUUUCAGAGGUACAGUUACAUGUCUACAAAACUUUUAUAAUGUGCAUACAAGAUUCUCUCUUACUUAACAUCCAUUACAAGGUAACUCUAUACACCAUGUUCUAUCAUUUUCCUCUAGGCACGCACGAUUAAUAAAUAUAUAAUCAGUUGCUGCCCACAAAUGCCCGGCACCGAGACGAAGGCGGCCUCGCUCCUGGCUUGCAUCGACAACUUCACCCGGCACUGCGUCGCGCCACAAGUCCGGGAACUCACGGCUAGUCUUCUGGGCAAAAACUGCGGCGGCCACGCCAAGAAUAAUGGAACGCAGAAUGUUGAAGUCCCUUUUCGAAAUUCCUCAAAGUGCACCAAACAGCGAGGCAACAACAAAUGUGGAAAUCACGCACUCUGGGAACUCAUGAAAAUGUGGAACAGUUAUUUAAGUAGCUUGACAUAUAUUGAUGUUAAUCCUUGAGGUUUUUAAUAUGCAUCAAGUAAACUAUAUAGUUUUCUAGACCAAAUACAUUUAUCAAGGUUUUUAUAUCUAUCUAUAUAUUAGCGGUGCUAAUUUAUUUUGCGUGAACAUUUAAAAUGUGUGAUUGUCAUCUUUUUUAAAAAAUAAAUAAAUACAAUUAAAUGUUUUAGUAAACUAU